rnacentral:lncRNA from 1 species
GGUAUGUAUGCGCCAAAAGGCAGCCAGGGGAGAGGAACCCUUGAACGGCAAGACCGGCCUGUCUCACAACUUUCUGUACGUCAAGUGCUUGGAAUAAAUAUUUCUACCGCACUAGUCUAGGAGAGACCAAGACGUGUGACCAAGUGCAAAUAAAAGGAAGCUAGCUUAUGUGACAUUUGGUAGCAUACAUGAACAGCUAUUUAUAUAUUACUUACUGCAGUGGUUUUAAAAGAAUUAGGCCUGAUGAAUAAGAAAAAUGGAGGUAGCAAAGUCAUGCCAUGCAUCUUCCAUCGCAUAGAAGAUAGAGCUAGAAAAAAAAAUAUAAACUGUAAAACAAUGGAUUUCAUGAUCCAAGGAAAAUUUCGAUGAUAUCAGACUUAGUGGAGGAUGUUUUUUGCCCUUUAGAAUUGAGUGCAAAGACUUAUAAUCUUGAAAAGCAAACAACCAUUAUAGGUAAAUUUUGUAAGAACUACAAUUAUUAUGUAAUUUUUUAAUAAAAAUAUAUAUUACACCAGAGCUAAUUAUAGGUUGUAAAUUCAUCCAAGAAUAAU